UUUACUGUAAAGGGUAUAUUCAUGGUAAACAUUACAGGUUCUGGAAAUUGGAUAAUUUCUGUCUCAGAUGAAGUUUUCAACAGCAGAAAGGCAACAACAAUACAGGUUACAGCGAGAUACUGACCCUGUAAGGAAGACAGAAUAUUUGCAAAAAAACAAAAACACAAAAACAGAAAUAGAUGCCACAGUGGCUGACCAGGAUGAAAGGGAGAAAAGGUACAGGCAAAAGUAUUGGAGAGAGGGCUAGCAGAGGUGCAGCGCGAGAAGGAAGAGACAAGCUGAGACACCACCACAAAGUCCUGAACCAGACCCUGAACCACAGACAUCCAGCUGGACUGUCUGCCAUUGUUCCUUUACCAGCUCUCAGGCCAGUCUUUGUUCCACCAACAUCAGUAGAAAGUGGGGAUGAGGACAGAGCUCCGGUCUCUAGGACUGUAGCCUGGGUUCCACGGCAAGAUCCAGCCAGGACAUGCCCUCUCCUCGAUGCGUCUCCCUGUUGGCGCCAGUGGACAAUAUGACAUCUUUGCCUCACGCCUUUGCUGCAGGAUGUGCAAAAGAGGAUCUGGUUGGCCGACACUCCUCGCAGGCUGGAUAAACUGCCGAAAGCGGUUUACAGACAUUAUUCCACCAUUUCUGACAUGUGACAGCUUGCAAGUCUGUGCUUCAUGAGCUGGGGCACACUGGCGAUUCACCCUCAGACAUGGCAAAUCAGGUGAUCAAAUGAAUGAAUCUCAAAUAUGAGUGAGCACAUCUGGCAGACCUUUCCAGUGCACAAAACAUCUGGGAUGCUGAAGCUGGGGUUUACGGGAGGAAGACUUUAAGUGACCUUGUGAGGCAGGAUGACACACCAGAGUCCUUUGGCGUCUCUGCCUCUGCUCACUACCUGACUGACUGUCUCACUGAUGAGUACUGGCACCAAGAGCCGGCCAUCACAAUAGUAUCUACGCCUGCAGCACGUUUGAACAGAGUACUUUGGUUGGUGAUGUUGACUGGAAAAAAAUGUGCCCCUUGCCACAAUAAUUCCUUCUAACAAAUAAAGCAAUAACGUGUGA